rnacentral:tRNA from 1 species
UAAGACAUGGUCGAGUGGUUAAGGCGAUUGACUUACAUGUAAGGGCGUAGGUUCAAAUCCUACAUUUUUAA